rnacentral:sRNA from 1 species
GCUGGGCGUGGUGGUGCACACCUGUAAUCCCAGCGACUCCGGAGUCUGAGGCAGGAGGAUUACAAGUUGAAGGCCAGCCUCAGCAACUUAGUGAGGCCCUAAGCAAUUCAGUGAAACCCUGUCUCUA